GUUUGAAAUUUAAAAAUUAAUAAAGUAUAUUUAAUAAAAAUAAUUUUAAUUUAUUUAAUAGUUUAAUGGGGGUUAAAGUAUUAUUUAAAGAAAAAAUUUAUAAUUUUAUAGUUAAUUAGUAUUGUGAAAGAAUUUUGAAAUAUUUGAAAAUAUAAUUAUUUUAAAGUAAUUUUUAUUUAUUGUAUCUUGUGUAUCAGAGUUUAUUAAAAAUAUUUAAUUUAAAAAUUAAUUUCUCGAAUUUAAAAGAGUUAAAUAAUUAUAAAAGUUAAUGUAGUAAAAUUAUUUUAAAUAAUUAUUUUGAAAUGAAAUGUUAAUCGUUUUUAAAUAUAUCUAGUUUUUUUAGAAAAAAAUUUAAUUUUAAUUUAUUUUAUGUUAAAAUUAAUUAAUUAAUUUUAACAUAAAAUAAAUUUAUAUUUUAAGGGAUAAGCUUUAAAUUAAAUUUUUAUAGAAUAUAAUUGGAAAAAAUUAUUUGAAAAUUUUAUAAUUUAUAUUGUUAAUAAAUUUUAUUUUAUUAUAAAUAAUUUCAUUUUAUUUAAAAUUUAAAAUUUAUUUCUUAAUUUUUUAUAUAAAAAAAAAUUUUAAUUAAAAUAAUUUAAAUAUAAUGAUAAAAUUAGUAUAUUAAAAUUAUUUAUUUUGAAUAUUAUUUAAUUUAAUAAUUUAAUUAAUUAAAAGGAAUUCGGCAAAUAUUUAUUUUCACUUGUUUAUCAAAAACAUGUCUUUUUGAAAUUUAUUUAAAGUCUAAUCUGCCCACUGAUUUUUAUUAAAGGGCUGCAGUAUUUUGACUGUACAAAGGUAGCAUAAUCAUUAGUCUCUUAAUUGGUGACUUGUAUGAAAGAUUGAAUGAAAAAUAUACUGUCUCUUUAUUAAUUUAUAGAAUUUAAUUUUUUAUUUAAAAAGUUAAAAUAACUUAAAAAGACGAGAAGACCCUAUAGAGUUUUAUAAAUUAAAAUUUAUAGAAGAUUAUUUUUAAUUUUAAAAUUUUUAUAAGUUUAUUUAUUUUAUUGGGGUGAUAAAAAAAUAUAUUAAACUUUUUUAAAUUUAUAACAAUAAUAAAUGAAUAAUUGAUCCAAUUUUAUUGAUUACAAGAUUAAAUUACCUUAGGGAUAACAGCGUAAUUUUUUUUUUUAGUUCAAAUAAGAAAAAAAGUUUGCGACCUCGAUGUUGGAUUAAGAUAAAAUUUAAAUGCAAAAGUUUAAAAUUUUUGAUCUGUUCGAUCAUUAAAAUCUUACAUGAUCUGAGUUCAAACCGGUGUGAGCCAGGUUGGUUUCUAUCUUUUAACAUAUAAAAUAUUUUAGUACGAAAGGAUCAGAUAUUUUAAUUAAAAUUAUUUAUAUAUAAAAAUAUUUUGAAUUAUAUUAAAAUUUAUAUUUAAAAUAAAU
rnacentral:rRNA from 1 species